CUCAGAAACUUCAUAGGCUACUAUUUUAGAUUCAGUCAAAAGGACUUAGCGUGUCAUCAUACUAAAUGUUGCAAAUCUGAACUGCAAUCCCAGAGGGCAGAUUCACCACACCAGUCAAGUGCAGGGAAGCAGGAAAGUGGCUCCUCAGGUGAGGCUCCUUGUUGAUCACCCACCAGGGAAACCCAAGAAUGAAGACAAGCCAUGCCUCGCUCUGCACUGUGGGCACUAACCUGCAGACAUGAAGCAGACACCAAAUGUGGCAUUCACAGUCCCUGCAGUGCCAAGAAAGUCUGCAAAGAAUAAACAUCAUUGGUAGUACUGAUGUGCUGGCAGUAUAUGAAUUAAGGAAGUCACAGACUGGGUGAAAAAGUAAUAAGAUAUUUACAGUCAAAUUGUCUCUGGAAUAAGUCCACAAAAACUAAAGGAGGAAGAAAAAGGGAAGAAUGAGGCCAGAAGAUCCAUUGGAAGGUUUACCAGUUCUAGUUUGAGCAAGACAAUAUCUGAGAAGAUGGCUGCUAUAUAGAUACCUACAUAGUUAGGUCAGUUAUUAUUUCAGUUCAUUUUCUUUUUGGUAUUUUUUAUAAAAAAUUAAA